rnacentral:rRNA from 1 species
CCUACGGGAGGCAGCAGUGGGGAAUUUUGGACAAUGGGGGCAACCCUGAUCCAGCCAUGCCGCGUGAGUGAAGAAGGCCUUCGGGUUGUAAAGCUCUUUCGGCCGGGACGAAAUCGCACAGGGGAAUAUCCUGUGUGGAUGACGGUACCGGAAUAAGAAGCACCGGCUAACUACGUGCCAGCAGCCGCGGUAAUACGUAGGGUGCGAGCGUUAAUCGGAAUUACUGGGCGUAAAGCGUGCGCAGGCGGUUUUGUAAGCCAGAUGUGAAAUCCCCGGGCUUAACCUGGGAACUGCAUUUGGGACUGCAAGGCUAGAGUACGGCAGAGGGGGGUAGAAUUCCUGGUGUAGCAGUGAAAUGCGUAGAUAUCAGGAGGAAUACCGAUGGCGAAGGCAGCCCCCUGGGUCGAUACUGACGCUCAUGCACGAAAGCGUGGGGAGCAAACAGGAUUAGAUACCCUGGUAGUCCACGCCCUAAACGAUGUCAACUAGUUGUUGGGGACCUUACCGUCCUUAGUAACGCAGCUAACGCGUGAAGUUGACCGCCUGGGGGAGGUACGGUCGCGAGAGUAAACUACGAAGAAGUUAGUAGNGUUGAGAGNGCGAGGCGACGACGAGGGAGAGG